UAGGGGAUAUUGCAUAAUGGGCGAAAGCCUGAUGCAGCAACGCCGCGUGUGCGAUGAAGGCCUUCGGGUCGUAAAGCACUUUUAGCAGGGAUGAGGAAGGACAGUACCUGCUGAAUAAGCCUCGGCUAACUACGUGCCAGCAGCCGCGGUAAAACGUAGGAGGCGAGCGUUAUCCGGAUUUACUGGGUGUAAAGCGCGUGCAGGUGGUUCGAUAAGUUGGAUGUGAAAGCUCCUGGCUUAACUGGGAGAGGUCGUUCAAGACUGUCGGACUUGAGUAUGGGAGAGGGAAGUGGAAUUCCGGGUGUAGUGGUGAAAUGCGUAGAUAUCCGGAGGAACACCAGUGGCGAAAGCGGCUUCCUGGCCCAAAACUGACACUCAGACGCGAAAGCUAGGGGAGCGAACGGG
rnacentral:rRNA from 1 species